rnacentral:tRNA from 1 species
GCCGAGGUGGCGGAAUUGGCAGACGCGCUAGUUUGAGGUGCUAGUGGCCGUAAUUGGCCUUCCGGGUUCAACUCCCGGUCUCGGCACCA